CCCUUAGAUGUUCUGGGCCGCACGCGUGCUACACUGAGUGGAUCAGCGGGUCAGGUUGCGCGAAAGUGUUUCCUAAUCUUUAAAUCCGCUCGUGAUGGGGAUUGACGGUUGCAAUUUUCCGUCAUGAACGAGGAAUACCUUGUAAGCGCGGGUCAUCAUCCCGCGCUGAAUACGUCCCUGCCCUUUGUACACACCGCCCGUCGCUCCUACCGAUUGAGUGGUCCGGUGAGGCUUUGGGAUCUGAGCGGAAAGAGCGUUUCGCUGUUUCUGCCCGGAAAACUCAGUCGAACUUUAUCAUUUAGAGGAAGGAGAAGUCGUAACA
rnacentral:rRNA from 1 species